CCAUGUUUCUCCACAAGUAUUGGAAGGGGGGAGAUAGCUUUGAGUAAGGUUAAAUGAAGGACAUGAACAAACAGUUUCUUGUUCAACUUUUUCUUCUUUUUAUUAUGCUAUUUGCAGCUUUAGUUCAUUAAUAAACAUUGCCCUUAAGCAUCAUGUAAGAGACCACAAGGAUGGGUCAAUUCUUCUCUUUAUUUAGUUGUUGCCAAUUCUACUAGUUGAUGGAUAAUGAUGAGAAGAAUUUCAGGAUUCAAGAAGUACCAAAUUUAUUAGGAGUUCAUUUGUGCAAGUGUUUUUAAUUUGGAACACUUAAGUAGAUAAGCUACUCCUGUUUGGUAAUGUUUUCUGGGCAUGCUAUGCCUUCAAGCUUGAUAUUUAUGCAAUAGCCUUUCCUCUUAAUAUCAUUCAUUGAACAGCACUUUGACCUUGACCUACUGGCUAAAAAUAUAAACGAAAUCUCCAUUGUUUUGAUGAUUCCAGGAUGAGACAUUAGUGAAAUUCUGGAAUCUGUCUCCCUUUAA